CCCUUAGAUGUUCUGGGCCGCACGCGCGCUACACUGGUCGAUGCAACGAGUUUCUUUCCUUGGCCGACAGGCCUGGGCAAUCUUUGAACAUCGAUCGUGAUCGGGAUAGAUUCUUGUAAUUUUUGAUCUUAAACGAGGAAUUCCUAGUAAACGCAAGUCAUCAGCUUGCAUUGAUUACGUCCCUGCCCUUUGUACACACCGCCCGUCGCACCUACCGAUUGAAUGGUCCGGUGAAAUCUCCGGACUGGCGUGAGUCGGAGCAAUCUGACAAACACCGGAAAGUUGAUUAAACCUUACCAUUUAGAGGAAGGUGAANUCGUANCA
rnacentral:rRNA from 1 species